rnacentral:rRNA from 1 species
UACAGAGGGUGCGAGCGUUGUUCGGAAUUAUUGGGCGUAAAGCGCGCGCAGGCGGUUCUUUAAGUCUGAUGUGAAAUCUCGCGGCUCAACCGCGAGCGGUCAUUGGAAACUGGGGGACUUGAGUGCAGAAGAGGAGAGCGGAAUUCCACGUGUAGCGGUGAAAUGCGUAGAGAUGUGGAGGAACACCAGUGGCGAAGGCGGCUCUCUGGUCUGUAACUGACGCUGAGGCGCGAAAGCGUGGGGAGCGAACAGG